CACGUUCAUUUGCUAUUUGCAAAUAGCAAACGGAAGUAGGGAUACCGAAGGAACGCGAA
rnacentral:ncRNA from 10 species